GCAGCGGGCCCGCGCCGCCGCCGACACUGCCGGGCGGGGGGUUUCCACGCUCGGUCCCCGGUUCUCUGUCGCCGGCCGCCCAUUGUUGUUUCCGAAGGGGUGGGGGGCGCGGGGCCCGCUGUCCUCAGCGCUUCGUCGGGGACGGCCCCGCUUCCUACGGCGGGCGGAGAGCGGUUUGUUUAAGGACAAACUUUUAAAGGGGACUCCGGAUGGCGGAUCGGCGUCGCCUGCGGUUAGACGCCCGCGGGGCCGCCUGGGGACGAGCGGCUGCCCUGACCCCGCGGGGCCGGGCCCGGAGGAGCACAUCUCCCCUGGGCUCUGCGCGCUUGCCGCCUCGUGCAUUUGCCCUCCUCCCCCCCAGCCCCGGGGUCCGAGGGGGGCCCCGCCCUCCUGUCUGAGGCCUCCUCCUCCAGGGAGCCCUCCCACCCGCUCCCUCCCACCGCAGAGCUGCGCCCCGGCCUGGCCGCUCCCCGCAGCAGCCGCUGGCACUGCAGGCUCUGCGGGGGGCCCCGUUCUUCUGCUCCGGCCCCGCACAGAGGCCUGCCCAAGGUCUCCCCAGAGCAGCCGUCCGUGGGUCGAAGGACUCAGGCGUGAAGAGGCCACCAGGGCCACUGGGACGCCUGCUGCCCUACCUCCUGAAUGUGGAGGGGCCGGCCGUCCCUCGUUCCCUCUGCCUGUCCUGACUGCGGAGCACCCUGAGCAGGGCCCUGCGGGCGCCUUGCUGAGCACUCUGGCCCCAUUGCUGUCCUCCUCUUCGCUCUUCCUGUCCUCUCCGGCUGGGUUGUAAGGCCUGCUUGCAUCCUUUUGGGAAGAAGGGCCGGAACGGGCAGGCGCGGGUUCUGCCAGCUUGGGGCUGCAUGGAGGGGCACAGUGUUGUCCUGAGGGCAGUGCCCUCCUCGUCAUCGCGGAACUUCUCGGGGACGCGCCUUCAGAAAUUCCGUGGCGCUGAGCCUGCGUCACAGGCAGGGUGAGCCCUUCCUGGAAGACAGCCGCCCGGCACCCCCACUCUGACUCAUGCCUCCUGACUGUUACUGAGAUUCGCCCUCCUGAUAGGUGAAAGUCGGCGCACCCGUCGGUUGGUUUUCUGACAGAAGUGCCCUUCCUGGGUAGGGCCACAGGACCUUCAGGGGGGUCCGGGCCCCGGCAGGUGCACGGAGCUGGGACUGGCGGCUUUGGAGAAGGCCUGGUUUCAGAGGGGGUCCCGGCGCCAGCGGCCCCAGUGCUUCUGCCUGUGUGACCUGCCUGCCCCAGCGGCACUGUGGGGAGGGGCUGUCCGUCCUGGAGACCAGGGCCUAGAAGGCGCCCUCCGCCCCCCACCCCGUCCCUGUCCCCGUCCCCCAGUGCCUGCGGACCUGGCUGGCCACCACAGGAUGGCCACGGCGCUUUCUCCCAGCUCUACAGUGACCACAUUUCUCUUUGCUCCAGAUGGGAAUGUUCUUGCUGUUCCUUUCUGUCCCAUCUCUUCUAACCUCCCGCCUUUAAAGAGGACCCUCUGUGGUGACUAGACGCAGGCCCGGACAGCUUGGGGUUCUGAGCAGCGGGUUGGGGUGGGGGAGCUCUCUGGGCUCCACAGAAGGGUGGUGGCAUGCAGGGAGGCUGCCCACGGCAGCACAGCUGCUUCAAUCCCACAGCUAUGGGGCACAUCACACUGCAGUGUGGGGUACACCAGGGUGUCCACUGGCCUGACGGCCUGGGCUGGUUAUAAGGCCCUGCUGUGGCCCUGUCCGCAUGGCUUCUGGCAAGGGGGCUCCCCUUGGGCAGUGGGAUGGUGAGCCCAGCUCAGGCAGAGCCCCAUGCUCAUCUGUGACAAGAACCAGCCUCCUGGCUGGUGCUGGUGAAGGGCUUCUCAGGUGCUUUAAUUGGCUCCAUGGGCAGUUCUGCUUGCAGCCCCUCCUGACCGAUGAGGAAGUCGAGAUCAGGGAGGCCACGUCACUGCCAAG
ensembl:lncRNA